UACGUAGGGAGCAAGCGUUGUCCGGAAUCAUUGGGCGUAAAGCGCGCGUAGGUGGCCCCGUAAGUCCGCUGUGAAAGUCAAAGGCUCAACCUUUGAAAGCCGGUGGAUACUGUGGGACUAGAGUACGGAAGAGGCGAGUGGAAUUCCUGGUGUAGCGGUGGAAUGCGCAGAUAUCAGGAGGAACACCAAUAGCGAAGGCAGCUCGCUGGGACGUACUGACACUGAGGCGCGAAAGCGUGGGGAGCGAACAGG
rnacentral:rRNA from 1 species